AUUGAACGCUGGCGGAAUGCUUUACACAUGCAAGUCGAACGGCAGCACGGGGGCAGCCCUGGUGGCGAGUGGCGAACGGGUGAGUAAUACAUCGGAACGUGCCCGGUCGUGGGGGAUAACGUAGCGAAAGUUACGCUAAUACCGCAUACGAUCUGAGGAUGAAAGCGGGGGUCCUUCGGGCCUCGCGCGAUCGGAGCGGCCGAUGUCAGCUUAGGUAGUUGGUGGGGUAAAGGCCUACCAAGCCGACGAUCUGUAGCUGGUCUGAGAGGACGACCAGCCACACUGGGACUGAGACACGGCCCAGACUCCUACGGGAGGCAGCAGUGGGGAAUUUUGGACAAUGGGCGCAAGCCUGAUCCAGCCAUUCCGCGUGCAGGACGAAGGCCUUCGGGUUGUAAACUGCUUUUGUACGGAACGAAAAGGCUCUGGCUAAUACCUGGGGCUCAUGACGGUACCGUAAGAAUAAGCACCGGCUAACUACGUG
rnacentral:rRNA from 1 species